GACGAACGCUGGCGGCGUGCUUAACACAUGCAAGUCGAACGCAUCCUUCGGGGUGAGUGGCAGACGGGUGAGUAACGCGUGGGAACGUGCCCUUCAGUUCGGGAUAACCCAGGGAAACUUGGGCUAAUACCGGAUACGUGCGAGAGCAGAAAGAUUUAUCGCUGAAGGAUCGGCCCGCGUCUGAUUAGCUAGUUGGUGGGGUAAUGGCCCACCAAGGCGACGAUCAGUAGCUGGUCUGAGAGGAUGAUCAGCCACAUUGGGACUGAGACACGGCCCAAACUCCUACGGGAGGCAGCAGUGGGGAAUAUUGGACAAUGGGCGCAAGCCUGAUCCAGCCAUGCCGCGUGAGUGAUGAAGGCCUUAGGGUUGUAAAGCUCUUUCGUCCGGGACGAUAAUGACGGUACCGUAAGAAGAAGCACCGGCUAACUACGUGCCAGCCGCCGCGGUAA
rnacentral:rRNA from 1 species